rnacentral:tRNA from 4 species
GGCGAAUGUGGUGAAGUGGUUAACACACCAGAUUGUGGCUCUGGCAUGCGUGGGUUCGAUUCCCAUCAUUCGCCU